rnacentral:rRNA from 1 species
CAAUAGCGUAUACUAAUGUUGCUGCAGUUAAAAAGCUCGUAGUUGAAAGUGGACAUUUGUCCUAUUACACUACUCUGUAGUGAUUUUACUAUGAAUAAAUUAGAGUGUUUCAGGCAGGCUUUAGCUUGAAUACAUCAGCAUGGAAUAAAAGAAUACGAUUAAUUUACUUUGGUGAGUAAACUAAUAAUGAUUAACAGGAGCAGUUGGGGGUAUUCGUAUUUAAUAGCUAGAGGUAAAAUUCUUGGAUUUAUUAAAGACGAACAAACGCGAAAGCAUUUAUCAAGGAUGUUUUCAUUAAUCAAGAACGAAAGUUAGGGGAUCAAAGAUGAUUAGAUAGCGU